rnacentral:lncRNA from 1 species
GCCCAUCAGACCGAGCUCCUUCCGGGCAGGGCAGGUCCACAGUGCACAGCCCGAAGCCAAGCCCAGAGGGGCUCGGGUGGCCCCCGAAUGCCUUGCCCACAGCACUGGCCAGAGCAGUGGGGACUGGGAGUGAGGCCAAGAUCCCCCACCCCCUACCCCACACCAUCCUUUGCCCUCUUGGGCGUACCUCCCCCACCCCGCCAUCACCAAGGAGGCCUGCGGACGCCUUGACCGAGCGCUGUGCAGCCGGCCUGAGACCCACACCCCCACCUGCCCUCUCCUGGCCUUGGUGCGGUUCGGCAGUAUCACCGAGGGGGAGGAGCUAGGACCUAGAGACCGUGGGUUCAAAUCCUGGCUCUUCUUGGCGCCAUGUACCGUGGGUUCAAAUCCUGGCUCUUCUUGGCGCCAUGUGUCCUUGGGUGAGGUACUUCACCUCCGUGCACCUCUGUUUCCCGCUUUUUUUGGCAGCCUCUCAGUAAACCACAGCGUGGCCCCUCAGUGGAUGACUUCACUGAGCCUGUGGGGGUGUCUUGCACUGGCCUUAGACGAUGAAAGGAACUGACUUGCUUAGGGACAUACAUCAUGGGCAUGACGUGGCUGGCCCUGCCUCCGUAGCCCUGGUUCAUCCCACUGGCCUACUGCGCCUCCCUCCAUCCCACGGGCCGCCGCCCAUCUGGGGAGGACGGCUGUGGGGGCCGAAGGACCUGUGGCACCGGAGAAAUGCUUGGUGUAGUGCCUGGCGACGAAGGGUAGUGCUCAAUUUCUUAACCCGUCGGCUUCAUCUAGGGGCACAGUCCCAGUCACCGUCUUUGCUGGAACUGACCCUCCUGAGGAGGUGA